rnacentral:lncRNA from 1 species
CUUCUUUUUUUGUUGUUUUUUUUUUUUCCUUUUUUGGAUUGAUCGUUUUCUGAAAAACAUCAGCACAGCACAGGACAGUACUACCCACCCUAAAUGUGUCGCUAUAUACAUUCUACAUAAGCUCUAUAGCAAUCACAUGUAAACAUCAUCAUUGUGAGGAAAUACUAGGACAGAAAAAGGCAAAGCUACAAUGAGGCAAUUGCCAAUAGCAGAUGCUCAGUCUUGGCCAGAGCUUCUCGUGUUUGCUAAGGUGGGAUGAGGAACGGGGAGAGCUUGUGGCAGGAGAGACACCAAACCUUGCUGCUGAGACUGAAAUGGCACAAGGGCUGUUCCCUGGCAGCGGUGGUCACCGGCAGCAGGCUGGGGACCUGCAGUUCAAACCCUGCAGUGGCCCGUGGGCCCUUGCACUGCUGGGCUGGUUGUCAGAACCUUGGCUUCCCGAAAGCGGGGAGGAAUAGCCAGGUAACUGUGCUGGUAUCGGCGCUGCCGGCGCUCCUGCUCCCACCAGAGACCAGCUGCACGCACGGCCCCAGAGCUCAGGGCCUCCUCAGCAGGGCUCAGGCUCUUGGCAUCACGUCUUGUGCAAUUUCAGAGGCUUUGGUCGUACUCCCUGCAAGACGAAACAGUUCCCACAGCAGGGAAAUAAGAAUAAAACCCCUAAGUCACGGGGAAGGGAGACCCCAGGAGACUCUAAUCUAACUAUUGGCAGAGUUAAGGCUAUAAUAUUCUAUCUACAUAGGAUGGCUGAAUCCCUAGUGGUCUCUGGGUCUGAAAAAUCAAUGGAGACGAUGGCGAUGGCUCGAGGAGCAGCCAGGUUCCCACUCCCUCAGGAAAAGUGCCUCUGGCCAGCUUGCGGUGGGGUUUGCUCCAGCCACAGGCAGGCUCUUUCCAUCUCCCACCUCACCUGGAGAUGGAGGGCAAGUCUGCAAGCAAAUUUCAGGGGGGCUGCUGCUUCAGCAUGCCUUCAGUGCAGUGCUGCUGGGCAGCCCCGAGCACCCCCGGCCAGGGGCAGAGC